CUAUUUUUAUACAUUGUGAUAUUAUUUAUAUGAAAUACACUUCACUUACGAUAACGAUCUUUGGGUCUGAGAAUUGAAUUAGUGGGCAAUUCUCACUGUUAAUAUUAUUAUCCCAUAAAUAUCCCCACAAUACACAUAUACGUAACUGCCCCUCUUGCACACAUACAUUACAUGCCACACACCCCAACAUAAUAAGCAAAAUCUUCCCACACACACAAGCCUGCAUACAGACACAGUCUAACAUGAAUACACAUAUUGACAUGCAUGUAUAGAUACACGCUAACACAUACACACAGUCAAACAUACACAGUUACACACUCACACACUGAAACUCACUGGCAAACAUAUAUAAACACACACUGACAUGCAUAGAUAGACACAUACUAAGAUGCAAUCAUAGACUCACAUUAACCCAGACAUACACUAACACGCAUACACAGAUGCACACUAACAUGCAAUCAAAGUAACUUAAAUACACAUACGCAGACAACUAACAUGCUUACAGUCAUAGUUUGACAUGCAUUCACAGACACACAAACCAAAGACACAUCACACAGCACUUGCUUCCUGUUUCAAUGUGACUAUGCAGCAGUUGUUAAAAUGCUCACACACCAUAGUAAACUUAAAUGAAUGCCCACAAAAUCUGAAUAUACGAAUGUGUUAAAUUCCCCAUACAUAACAUGCCAAUCAAUUUAAGGAUUAUGCAUAUUAUAUAUGUAUAUUUCCCGACCAUAAAUUAAUUUAAAUGAUAUAAUACAAUGGUGAUGUCAUGUUUUUAUUGUUUGUUAAUGGCAUUUAUUUUAAGAUUUCGCUAUCCCCAAAAUAAAACUAUUUCAAUUAAAAUGAUCAUACCACGCUUUUAAAUAGUGGUGCUUUUGUUUCUGCAGCCUAAAACCUAUUUAAUGCAACCCAUUAAUGUAUAUUAUUUAUCAUAAGCAUUAAACGUAAAAUAGCAUUAUCUUG